AUCUUUAUAUUCUAAUGUCUUCUCUGAAAUGUGCUUAAGUGAAAGGACACGGCAGAGUGUCAAGCAGGCAGAAGUGUGGCAGAAAUUGACCCAGGGAGGCCAAAAAUGGUAUUGUCAAGCUUGGGUCAUUAGUUGCAUGAGAGUCAAGAAGGUGAAUCCAGUUUUCCAAGGAAAUUACAGUGCCAAGAAAUUGCCCAGUGAUGGCAACCGACACUGCUCUUCUGGUUCAGCCUCCAUAAAAACUUAAGCCUCCUGGAAGGAGUCGUCAUUACUGGCAUGAGCGACCCACCAGACAGAGCCCCGCUACCACUGUGACCUUGGCUAACUAGCCCAACAUGCCUUAUUUGUAAAUUUUGAUUCUCCACAUAACGGAAAGCACAUGCCAAAGAGUGUCCCUUCUUUAUUGCAUUUUGUGCCUUUUAAUAAACAGUUGCUCCAACCCAGUUGACGCCUGAACUUCUUGCUUCAUGGAGCUGUCAUUCCUGCACAAUAUAUGUAAUCGUUAAGGCUGCAAAUUAAAUAAUGCUUACAAUGUGAUA